CAGGUGGGUCUGAGCAUGCUGCUCCGCAGCUGGACCCUUCUCCACGCCGUCUUGACCUUUGGGUAUUCUAAAAUAUGAGCUGCAGCGGUGCCAUCCUGCAGGCAGCCUGAUCCUGCAGCCUGACUUGUCCUUGUAUGGGGCUGUGUCUCCAGCAUGGCACCGCUCCAGCUCUUCUGCAGGCACACGUCCAACAUAACACAUCCAAGGAUACACAAAUAACCGUACAGUAGGUCUGAGGACGAGGAUGUCUCUGGAGGAGCAGAGUUCUCAAGACAAAGGUCAGAGAGCAGCGGCUGAGGUGGGAUUUCUGAAAUUGACUGAAAGAGAAAAGAUCAAGCAACUCCAAAACUGAAACACCUAUAAUGGGAAGAUGGGCCUUUAUUCUAAAGAGUCGGGUGUAAAAACCUCAGAUCCAAAAGGAAAUUAUGGAGGACAGCGGACUUCAAACACAUGGUGAUGGAUGACAUUUUUAGCUUAAAAAACGAUUGCUUCCUGUUUCGAUUUCUGUGCAUUGGC